UAAUUGAAGAGUUUGAUCAUGGCUCAGAUUGAACGCUGGCGGCAGGCCUAACACAUGCAAGUCGAGCGGUAACAUUUCUAGCUUGCUAGAAGAUGACGAGCGGCGGACGG
rnacentral:rRNA from 1 species